UGCAGUAUUUUGACUGUACAAAGGUAGCAUAAUCAUUAGUUUUUUAAUUGAAAACUUGUAUGAAUGGUUGAAUGAAAUAUUAACUUUUUUAAAUAAAAUAAUGAAUUUUACUUUUUAAUUAAAAGGUUAAAAUUAAUUUAAAAGACGAGAAGACCCUAUAGAAUUUUAUUAUUAUAUUUAUAUAAAUUUUUAAAGAUUUAUUUAUUUUUUAUAAAUUUAAUAAUUUUGUUGGGGUGACAAUAAAAUUUUAUUAAUUUUUAUUAAUUAUAAACAUUUAUUUAUGAUUAAUUGAUCCAUUAUUUAUGAUUACAAUUUUAAAUUACCUUAGGGAUAACAGCAUAAUUAUUUUUUAAGUUCAUAUUAAUAAAAUUUUUUAUGACCUCGAUGUUGGAUUAAGAUUUAAUUUUAGGUGCAGCAGUUUAAAAUUUAAGUCUGUUCGACUUUUAAAUUCUU
rnacentral:rRNA from 1 species